rnacentral:misc_RNA from 1 species
GGGGUAGUCAUAUGCUUGUCUC